ensembl:lncRNA
CCUCCGAGCCGGCGCCAUUGCUGGAAGUGUUCCCGCCCUGCUCUGCGAGUGCCCUCAGUUGUCCUCAGUUCGGCAGCCAGCUGUGUCUCUGCAGGACUCCACUCUCGCCAGAGAGGGGAACACAGAGAUCAUGGCUGCUGGGGUCUUUUCUCUUGGACCUCUGGAGACCGUUGGCACUUGAGACUCUGCUGUGGGUCACUGCUGUGUCGCUGAGUGAUCGUAUCCUGUAUCCCUUCAGAAUCCUGAAGUUUCCAAGCCAGAUGAAGACCUUCACCUUCAGGCCGAAGAACCAGAAUUGGUAAAGGUAAUACCUAACACAUUACAUGAGGGGAAUAAAGUGCCUCUUUUACUGUGCCUGCUUCUUAAUGUUCCUAGUUUGUUGCAAGUUUGCAGUGAGUACCGUCUUGCUUGAUAGGUGUAUAACCCCACCAGUGUGAUAGAUUUCAUUUCCCUCGGUGGCAGCCCUAAUGUGGCAGAUACGUCACAUCUUAACUGCUGCUCAUAAAGUAGUCCGUAUCACGUGCUCUGAUUCUUGCUUUGCAUCAUGAGACUCGACACCAUUAAAAAUAUCAAGAAUACAUCAACAUCAGUGGAAAUAUUCUUAAGAGGUGUUUCAAUUGGUGUCGAUUUUUUUUAAUGUUUUAUUUAUUUUUGAUACAGAGAGAGACAGAGCAUGAGAGAGGGAGGGUCAGAGAGAGAGGGAGACACAGAACCAGAAGCAGGCUCCAGGCUCUGAGCUAGCUGUCAGCACAGAGCCCGACGCGGGGCUCCAACCCACGAUCGUGAGAUCUGACCUGAGCUGAAGCCGGACGCUUAACCGACUGAGCCACCCAGUCGCCCCUGGUGUCUCAGUGGUGAUUUUUUAUUGCAUUAUAUUGUUAAGCUGACUUUCUUAUUCAUGAGUAUAAAAUCCAACUGAUUUUUUCCAGAAAAUAUCAAAGUCAGAAAUGUAUGAAAUAUGUUGAGAAAAAUUAUCUAACAUUUAUCUAAGUUUUAGACAAAAGGUAAAUGUAUGCCCUUUCGGUGUCAUAUUGGACCACUGUCUAACCAGCCUGGGUGAGGGUCAUCUGACAUAGCACAGAGGGUUCUGUUGUUUGAUGUACUAGUUACUGUUGGUUAAUAGCCAGACCCUCAAAGUCCUAUGUUAACUUGUAGAACAUUGAAAAUUUGCAAAUUAUUUUACCUAGGAGAAAAAAAUCACCCCCAAGUUUAUGGUUUUAUUAUCUCUGUAGGACAUUCACCAGGUUUCUAACUAAUUUUGCAGUCUUAUUCCAGGAUUCUUUCUUCUGAAGUCAGUAGACAGCUGUUUUUGUGCCUCCUUUGAGCCAGCUUUGUCAAGCAGCUGAUCUCUCAUUACUGACCUCAGUAAAACUUUGGCACAUGUUGACAAUACUUGUAGAAUUAUGGGGCUUGAUUUUUUUUAAUUUUUUUAUUGAAGUAGAGUUGACAUACAGGAUUAUAUUAGUUUCAGUUGUACAGCAUAGUGAUUGGAUGUAACUCUGUACAUAACACAGUGCUCAUCACAAUAAGUGUGGUUACUAUUACCAAAGUUAUAGUAUUAUUGUCUGUACUCUAUGCUAUACUUUUCAUCUCUGUCAUUUAUUUUAUAACUGGAAGUUCGUGCCUCUUAAUUCCCUUUACCUGUUUCACCCAUUCUCUCACCCUCCCCCAAAACCACCAUUUUGUUCUCUGUAUUUAAGAGUCUGUUUCUAGUUUUUGUUUGUUCAUUUGUUUUCUUUUUUAG